GACAGAGGAGGCGAGCGUUAUCCGGAAUCAUUGGGCGUAAAGCGUCCGUAGGCGGUUCGAUAAGUCUGGGGUUAAAGCCCGGAGCUUAACUCGGGAUCGGCCCUUGAAACUGUCAAACUUGAGUAGGGAAGGGGUAGGGGGAAUUCCCGGUGUAGCGGUGAAAUGCGUAGAUAUCGGGAAGAACACCAGCGGCGAAGGCGGGCAACUGGGCCAUUACUGACACUGAGGGACGAAAGCGAGGGGAGCAAAUAGG
rnacentral:rRNA from 1 species